AGUGGAUCCUGAGUACGGCGGAACACGUGAAAUUCCGUCGGAAUCCGGGAGGACCAUCUCCCAAGGCUAAAUACUCCCUAGUGACCGAUAGUGAACCAGUACCGUGAGGGAAAGGUGAAAAGCACCCCGGAAGGGGAGUGAAACAGUUCCUGAAACCGUGUGCCUACAAGUAGUUAGAGCCCGUUAAUGGGUGAUAGCGUGCCUUUUGUAGAAUGAACCGGCGAGUUACGAUUUGUUGCAAGGUUAAGCGGAAAAAGCGGAGCCGUAGCGAAAGCGAGUCUGAAUAGGGCGCAUAAGUAACAGGUCGUAGACCCGAAACCAGGUGAUCUACCCAUGUCCAGGAUGAAGGUAAGGUAAUACUUACUGGAGGUCCGAACCCACGCACGUUGAAAAGUGCGGGGAUGAGGUGUGGGUAGCGGAGAAAUUCCAAUCGAACUUGGAGAUAGCUGGUUCUCUCCGAAAUAGCUUUAGGGCUAGCCUCGAGGUAAAGAGUCAUGGAGGUAGAGCACUGUUUGGACUAGGGGCCCUUCUCGGGUUACCGAAUUCAGAUAAACUCCGAAUGCCAUGUACUUAUACUCGGGAGUCAGACUGCGAGUGAUAAGAUCCGUAGUCGAAAGGGAAACAGCCCAGACCACCAGUUAAGGUCCCCAAAUAUAUGUUAAGUGGAAAAGGAUGUGGGGUUGCUUAGACAACCAGGAUGUUGGCUUAGAAGCAGCCACCAUUGAAAGAGUGCGUAAUAGCUCACUGGUCGAGUGACCCCGCGCCGAAAAUGUACCGGGGCUAAACAUAUUACCGAAACUGUGGAUGAACCUCUUUAGAGGUUCGUGGUAGGAGAGCGUUCUAAGGGCGGUGAAGUCAGACCGGAAGGACUGGUGGAGCGCUUAGAAGUGAGAAUGCCGGUAUGAGUAGCGAAAGAAGGGUGAGAAUCCCUUCCACCGAAUAUCUAAGGUUUCCUGAGGAAGGCUCGUCCGCUCAGGGUUAGUCGGGACCUAAGCCGAGGCCGAUAGGCGUAGGCGAUGGACAACAGGUAGAGAUUCCUGUACCAGUGCUAAUUGUUUAACCGAUGGGGUGACACAGAAGGAUAGGGAAUCGCACGAAUGGAAAUGUGCGUCCAAGCAGUGAGUGUGAGAAGUAGGCAAAUCCGCUUCUCGCGAAGCAUGAGCUGUGAUGGGGAAGGAAAUUAAGUACGGAAGUUCCUGAUUUCACGCUGUCAAGAAAAGCCUCUAGGAAGAGUAGUACUGCCCGUACCGCAAACCGACACAGGUAGAUGAGGAGAGAAUCCUAAGGUGAGCGAGAGAACUCUCGUUAAGGAACUCGGCAAAAUGACCCCGUAACUUCGGGAGAAGGGGUGCUCUAUUAGGGUGCAAGCCCGAGAGAGCCGCAGUGAAUAGGCCCAGGCGACUGUUUAGCAAAAACACAGGUCUCUGCAAAACCGUAAGGUGACGUAUAGGGGCUGACGCCUGCCCGGUGCUGGAAGGUUAAGAGGAGUGCUUAGCUUCGGCGAAGGUACGAAUUGAAGCCCCAGUAAACGGCGGCCGUAACUAUAACGGUCCUAAGGUAGCGAAAUUCCUUGUCGGGUAAGUUCCGACCCGCACGAAAGGCGCAACGAUCUGGGCACUGUCUCAACGAGAGACUCGGUGAAAUUAUAGUACCUGUGAAGAUGCAGGUUACCCGCGACAGGACGGAAAGACCCCGUGGAGCUUUACUGCAACCUGAUAUGGAAUGUUUGUACCGCUUGUACAGGAUAGGUAGGAGCCGAAGAGACGUGUGCGCUAGCAUACGAGGAGGCAAUGGUGGGAUACUACCCUGGCUGUAUGACCAUUCUAACCCGCCACGCUUAGCGCGUGGGGAGACAGUGUCAGGUGGGCAGUUUGACUGGGGCGGUCGCCUCCUAAAGAGUAACGGAGGCGCCCAAAGGUUCCCUCAGAAUGGAUGGAAAUCAUUCGCAGAGUGUAAAGGCACAAGGGAGCUUGACUGCGAGACUGACAAGUCGAGCAGGGACGAAAGUCGGGCUUAGUGAUCCGGUGGUUCCGCAUGGAAGGGCCAUCGCUCAACGGAUAAAAGCUACCCCGGGGAUAACAGGCUUAUCUCCCCCAAGAGUCCACAUCGACGGGGAGGUUUGGCACCUCGAUGUCGGCUCGUCGCAUCCUGGGGCUGUAGUCGGUCCCAAGGGUUGGGCUGUUCGCCCAUUAAAGCGGCACGCGAGCUGGGUUCAGAACGUCGUGAGACAGUUCGGUCCCUAUCCGUCGCGGGCGCAGGAAAUUUGAGAGGAGCUG
rnacentral:rRNA from 1 species